GUGCUGUUUCAGCAGCACAUAUACUAUAAUUGGAAUGAUACAGAGAAGAUUUGUAUGGUCCCUGCACAGGGAUGACACAAAAAUUUAUGAAGCGUUCCAUAAAAUA